rnacentral:rRNA from 1 species
UACGUAGGUGGCGAGCGUUGUCCGGAAUUACUGGGUGUAAAGCGCGUGUAGGCGGGAGGCCAAGUCUGCGGUGAAAUCGCUCGGCUCAACUGGGCGGGGUCCGUGGAAACUGGUCACCUGGAGGACGGUAGAGGCGAGUGGAAUUCCCGGUGUAGUGGUGAAAUGCGUAGAGAUCGGGAGGAACACCAGUGGCGAAGGCGGC